rnacentral:rRNA from 1 species
AGUAACGCGUGAGGAACCUGCCUCAAGGAGGGGGACAACAGUUGGAAACGACUGCUAAUACCGCAUAAGCCCACGGCUCGGCAUCGAGCAGAGGGAAAAGGAGCAAUCCGCUUUGAGAUGGCCUCGCGUCCGAUUAGCUAGUUGGUGAGGUAAUGGCCCACCAAGGCGACGAUCGGUAGCCGGACUGAGAGGUUGAACGGCCACAUUGGGACUGAGACACGGCCCAG